rnacentral:piRNA from 1 species
UAGCCACAUAUUCAAACUUCUAUGUUGUC